rnacentral:rRNA from 1 species
AACGAACGCUGGCGGCAGGCUUAACACAUGCAAGUCGAGCGCCCCGCAAGGGGAGCGGCAGACGGGUGAGUAACGCGUGGGAACGUACCCUUUGCUACGGAAUAGCUCCGGGAAACUGGAAUUAAUACCGUAUGUGCCCUACGGGGGAAAGAUUUAUCGGCAAAGGAUCGGCCCGCGUUGGAUUAGCUAGUUGGUGGGGUAAUGGCCUACCAAGGCGACGAUCCAUAGCUGGUCUGAGAGGAUGAUCAGCCACAUUGGGACUGAGACGCGGCCCAAACGUAUACGGGAGGCAGCAGUGGGGAAUAUUGGACAAUGGGCGAAAGCCUGAUCCAGCCAUGCCGCGUGAGUGAUGAAGGCCUUAGGGUUGUAAAGCUCUUUCACCGGAGAAGAUAAUGACGGUAUCCGGAGAAGAAGCCCCGGCUAACUUCGUGCCAGCCGCCGCCGUAAUAC